rnacentral:tRNA from 1 species
UUCUUUAUAAGUUAAUUAAACUAUUGAAUUUUUACUUCAACUUUAACCAAAGUUUAAAGAAU